rnacentral:rRNA from 1 species
GGUGAACCAACCUGGAGCUGUGAGGUCUGGAUUAGGGUUCCAUGUCAACAGUGAUUGAACAUGGGUGAGUCGAUCCUAAGCCAGCUGUGAAUGCAGUGACAUCCCGACAACGGGGACGCCGCUUACAUGCCCUGUCACUUACACCCCCAUACCAAAGCUCUCGAGUAUCUCUCUCUCGCUCAAACUCUCUCAGUCUGUGACGAAAAGGUGUCUGGUACGGAAAAUGCGCACACACGUUGAUCGCUACGGAGCGUGAGUGUGUGCGCUUGUCUGCUUACGCUCAUAAGCGUUGUUGCUCUGUCUCGGAAAAGUCGCGCACACACACGGUGAUCGCUACGGAGUGUGAGUGUGUGUGCGCGCGCUCGCACAAAAACACGAGAGAAAGAGAGUGGGUGAGCGUGAGUUGUCCCUGGCGUGAGUCUCCCGCGUCGGUUCCAUGUCAGGCGAAAGGGAAUGGGGACUUUGUUCCUUGACCGGUCCCGGCACCCUCGAUUGGCUUUGCCAAUCAAUGGUCCAUGCAAAUGGAACCAGGCCACAGCCGUCGGCAGUCGCCCGAGGAAGAGUUUUCUUUUCUGCUUAACGCACGAGGUCAUUCCUGGAAACAGUUCGGCUGGCGAAAGGGUGUCCCGUUGCGGCAGAGCGCCACGACUGUCGUGCGCGUCUCGGUGUUCCUGCUGAUCCGUGAAAACGUGGUCGAGGGGAAUGCUCUUGUAUCAACGAAACGUCCGACAAGUUCGGGACGGACCGUACCCUAUAUCCGCAUCUGGUCUCCAAGGUUCGUAGCCUCUGCAGAGUCAGACACAUGUAKGUAAGGGAAGUCGGCAAACUCGAUCCGUAACUUCGGGAAAAGGAUUGGCUCUGAGGGCCGAGCUGGGCCGGGCCUUGCCUGCAAAGCAGUACCUAUAGUGACCGGAGUUUUAGGAGUGCGAGGGGCUCUAGUAGCUGCUUGUGCGUGUGUGUGCGUUCGCGCGUGCGCGCGCGUGUGGGCACGAACGAGUCCACCGCUC